CCUACGGGUGGCUGCAGUGGGGAAUAUUGGACAAUGGGGGCAACCCUGAUCCAGCCAUGCCGCGUGUGUGAAGAAGGCCCUCGGGUUGUAAAGCACUUUCAGUGAGGAAGAACGCCUGGUGGUUAAUACCCAUCAGGAAAGACAUCACUCACAGAAGAAGCACCGGCUAACUCCGUGUCAGCAGCCGCGGUAAUACGGAGGGUGCGAGCGUUAAUCGGAAUUACUGGGCGUAAAGCGCGCGUAGGUGGCUUGAUAAGCCGGUUGUGAAAGCCCCGGGCUCAACCUGGGAACGGCAUCCGGAACUGUCAAGCUAGAGUGCAGGAGAGGAAGGUAGAAUUCCCGGUGUAGCGGUGAAAUGCGUAGAGAUCGGGAGGAAUACCAGUGGCGAAGGCGGCCUUCUGGACUGACACUGACACUGAGGUGCGAAAGCGUGGGUAGCAAACAGGAUUAGAUACCCUAGUAGUC
rnacentral:rRNA from 1 species